AGAGUUUGAUCAUGGCUCAGGAUGAACGCUAGCUACAGGCUUAACACAUGCAAGUCGCGGGGCAGCAUGUAUCUGGCUUGCCAGAUACGAUGGCGACCGGCGCACGGGUGAGUAACGCGUAUCCAACCUGCCCAUAACCACGGCACAGCCCGUCGAAAGGCGGAUUAAUGCCGUAUGAGGUUCCAGAGUAGCAUUAUUAUGGAACGAAAGGAUUGGCGGUUAUGGAUGGGGAUGCGUCCGAUUAGCUAGUUGGCGGGGUAACGGCCCACCAAGGCGACGAUCGGUAGGGGUUCUGAGAGGAAGGUCCCCCACACUGGAACUGAGACACGGUCCAGACUCCUACGGGAGGCAGCAGUGAGGAAUAUUGGUCAAUGGGCGGAAGCCUGAACCAGCCAAGUAGCGUGCAGGAAGACGGCCCUAUGGGUUGUAAACUGCUUUUUCGCGGGGAUAAAGAGGGGGAUGCGUCCCCCGUUGCAGGUACCGCGUGAAUAAGGACCGGCUAAUUCCGUGCCAGCAGCCGCGGUAAUACGGAAGGUCCGGGCGUUAUCCGGAUUUAUUGGGUUUAAAGGGAGCGCAGGCCGUAUGGUAAGCGUGUUGUGAAAUGCCGUGGCUCAACCAUGGCACUGCAGCGCGAACUGCCGUACUUGAGUACGCUGGAGGUAGGCGGAAUUCGUGGUGUAGCGGUGAAAUGCUUAGAUAUCACGAAGAACCCCGAUUGCGAAGGCAGCCUACCGUAGCGGCACUGACGCUGAGGCUCGAAAGCGUGGGUAUCGAACAGGAUUAGAUACCCUGGUAGUCCACGCGGUAAACGAUGGAUGCUCGCCAUUGGGCAGUAAUGUUCAGGGGCCAAGCGAAAGCGUUAAGCAUCCCA
rnacentral:rRNA from 1 species